UGGUUUAAAACAUGUAUAAACUAUAAUAAAUGUUUUAACCAAUGGUUUAUAUUGAUAUUUAUUUAUUUUCUCGGGCUUUGAAUUUCACUCCCACAUGCAACUUUUCUGACAACGCAUUACAGGAUUGCUACUGUUCUCAGUAAUGCUUCAGUGUGUGGUACUGAAAACAUGGGCUAACACAAAUGGGAAUUUUGCACAGCUCUCAUGUACUAUGCCCUGUAACGUUUCUAGGAGAAUGUGGAACUGGUAUACCAGUAUCCUUCCUCACAUAAGGCGGUGGUAAGUAGGGCUGUACAAUUAAUCUAAAUAAAAUCGAAAUCGCGAUAUGACCUUGUGCGAUUAUUAAAUUGCAAAGGGCUGCGAUUUAAUUAAAUAAAUAGUCUGCUCACUUCAAAGUUUAUUUGCACUGCUCUGUCCAGUCUAGAUUAAGUUAGACCAUUGUUACGGUGUUUUCAGAACUGUUCCGUGCUCCACAACUCCAUCUCAUGCUUAUGGGUCUUUUCCACUGCACAGUACAACUCGAGACUGCUGGCUUUUUGGGGGUUUUCCACUGUGGAUAGUACCUGGUACUUUUUUACUACCACCUUGGUUGAGGUUCCAAGGGAGCCGAGCCAAUACUAAAUGUGAUGUCAAAAUCCAGCAGAUCACUGAUUGGUCAGAGAGAAUCAUCACUCCCAGCGUCAAAGAUUUCCGACACGGAACAUCAAAUUGUAAAAAGUAAUGGCCGUGCGCAAAACCACGCCAUGUUCAAUAAGGUGCAAAUGUUCCUCUCGUUAUGCAAAAUGGAAAAGUCUUUCAGGAAGCGUCUCAGCUGUUGUCCGCACACGGCUAUGACCGGACCUACCAACAGUGUAGAGAAAAGUAAAAAAUAAAUAAAAACUUAAGUGACUACAUUUAUUAGCCCUAUAAAUCAAUUGAACAAUUUAACCAUUUGAUAUUAUGACAUCACAACAAAUAUGAAAUGUUCUUAAAAAUAUCCCUUUGACAAAUAUGUUACUAGUAUGAAAUGUUUGCUCUGUGAGAGACAAGAGAUAAGUUCAGUAUUAGCAUUAUUCUUAAUUCUAUUUUAUUUAGUUGUAUCUAUUGAUCUAUGAUUUUAUUAUGUAUUUGUUUAUAGAUUAUUUUUUAAAGAAAUAUCAAUAUAAUGAUUAACAAUAUAAAUAUUUUAAUAAAUACAAGCAACCAUAACAACUAAUAAAUAGCAUUCAUUACAUUCAAUUAAAUUGCAUUUGUGGUAAACAAAUAGAUAAUAAACCAAUUACAUGGAAAAAAUACAAUAAAUAACAAUAACUAAUACAAAUGUCAUAACAAUAAUAACUUUUAAUUAAAAUGUGCUUAUUUUAUUUAGAACAUAUUUUUUUUAUUAAUUUUUUAUUUAGAUUAACUCAGUAAUGCUUCAGUGUGUGGUACUCCUCAAAACAUGGGGCAACACACAAGGGAGUGUUGCAUGGCACACACAUGAAUUUGGUGAGGCGCCUCUGCUUUGUCCUGCGAGUGCUGGAUAGGCAGGCCUUGCAGUGCCGACUGGUCCUGCUGCCCUGGGAAGUUUAGUUGGUAUGAACUGGCGAAAUGCCAGCCUACCUUUGAAGUUCAUCAACGACUCAUCGACACACAGAUCCCUGUAGGGCACAAAGAUGUUACGAAAUGAUGACGUGAAAGCAGUGAAAAUGUUUCAGAUUUUUUGCAGGGGUAGUUGAUGUUUGCCAUCGCAUUGUUGGAGAAGUGAAGGCAGCGGUGGAGCAGAAGGAAGCGGUCCUGGGAAAACAAAGUCCCCAAAAAAUGGUGUCAGGAGCAUGGGAUCUGUACUCCAAUAAUCACGAAGUGGUGUUUUCUUCUGCAGCUCUGAGGCAUAGCAGUUUGUUUCAUCAACAAUUUCCUCAAUUAGCUCCUCAGUAAGGAACAUCUUAAAACACUGGACUUCAUUGGGUGAUUCUGGAGGGUUUUACACGCCACAAGUCCGGUCAUCAAAUGCAACCCCAGGUCCAGGAUGGGUAAAAUUACUGGUAGAACUCCAGCAUGAAGAGCUUACCUCCUCCACCUCCCUUGGUGUUGUGUUUACAGGAGUAGGAGCAGUUGCUGAGGCAUUUUCAUUCUCAGCAUCAAGGGCUUGGAGGUUGGGGGCAUCUCCUCAUCUGUGUCACUUCCCUCAUUGUCAAAACUUCCCUCUUCCUCAUCAGUAUUAAAAAAUAUUUAUCUGAUCUCCUCAUCUGUAAUUUGUUUUCUUUUUAUAAAACUGUAAAUAUAUCGCGUGUGUGUGUGUGUGUGUGUGUGUGUGUGUGUGUGUGAUAGGCUAGUGAUAGUGAUAGG